ACUGCGCUUUGGGCCGGAGAGGAGCUCACUGUCUGAUCCUUUUCCCCGACUGUGGCUUAAGGGGUUUCGUCUCUUGCUAGAGCCCUUCUAGGCAGGCAGCAGGUCCUGGUUUGUGAGCAAGGGGCUCCUCCUCCAUUUUGGAGCCUCGGCUGCCCUGCCUCCCCGGUAAUCUGGUAUUCUGGUAGUGCCUCUCUGGGCCCUGGUUUAAAAGGCCGAGAGAAGCUGUAUUCUGGAGAUCAGCUCCAGGUUCUCCCGCAGAGAGCAAGCUCCAGGCACAGGCAAAGGGUGUGGCUUCAGAGAAGAGCGAGGAUCUUGCCAUCUCUUUUACAGAUCCGUGGAAGGCAGAGAGAAUUUGGGAACCUCUGUGCUAUAAGCAUGGAAAAUUGGGACUCAGGUAAAAAGGCUGGUUCCUGGUCGCACAGCUGGUCAUGGGCACUUUGGCAAAGGAGUGUGAGUUUUGGGGAAGCUCAAGGAAGAGGUACCAGGUAGAGAGAGGGCCAGGGCUGAGUUCACGGGCUCUUUCUAAAUGGAAAUGUCUCACAUUCAGCUGUUGUCUGCCUUUGAGUCACACAGAACCACUUGCAGGAAGAACUCUAGAGAAUUUGGGAAGAAAGGGGGAGAGGACAGACAAAAGAUGCAUUUUUCUUUCAAGAAGCAGGAAAAUGUAAGGAAAAUUGAAGGUGUUCUCAAGUGUGUCUGCUGCUGCCUGACACAGGUUAACCCCGUCGCAGGUCACUCCGCUCUGUUAAUUGCAUCCUAACCUUCCUCGGCUCUUCGGCAGCGAAAUCGCAGCAGAGGAGAUGGAGCAGCUUCGUGCGCAUUGCUCAUUUGCGCCAACGUGAAAAGAACUGCCAGGAUGCCCAGGACACCAGCUCCCUGGCUUCUGCGGUGCUUGCACAGUCCUGAAUCAGCCCGAGAGCUGUGGAUCUGCGUCCCCUGGCUGCAUAGCCGACUGCCGGCUCCAUGGAGGGGCCUGUGCCGGAGAACGCACAUGUUGACUUAUUUCUUCAGUCUAGGCCUUUCUUGGCCCCCUUGGUUAUUCAUUCUAGAUGAUACAACUCUUAUUUCAGUUCAAAUGUCUCACGGAAGAGGCAUUGAAGACAGAGUGGAUGCCCGUGUUUGUUGGCAGUAGGUAGUAUUUACCACUCCGGUUGUAGUAAAAGAACAAAAGGAGAAAUUACACCUAUUUCUCAUAUUUAAGGGAAAAGCAAUUAAAUCACCAAAGUCAG
rnacentral:lncRNA from 1 species